UUUUUUUUUGGUUUGUUUU
rnacentral:sRNA from 1 species